ACUCCUACGGGAGGCAGCAGUGAGGAAUAUUGGACAAUGGACGGAAGUCUGAACCAGCCAUGCCGCGUGGAGGAUUAAGGCCUUCUGGGUUGUAAACUUCUUUUAUUAGGGAAGAAAACUGGGAUUUCCAUCCCAUCCGACGGUACCUAAUGAAUAAGCACCGGCUAACUCCGUGCCAGCAGCCGCGGUAAUACGGAGGGUGCAAGCGUUAUCCGGAUUUACUGGGUUUAAAGGUGUGUAGGCGGACAGGUAAGUCAGAGGUGAAAUCUCCGAGCUCAACUCGGAAACUGCCUUUGAUACUAUUUGUCUUGAAUUUCGUUGAGGUUGGCGGAAUAUAUCAUGUAGCGGUGAAAUGCAUAGAUAUGAUAUAGAACACCGAUUGCGUAGGCAGCUGACUGGACGAACAUUGACGCUGAGGCACGAAAGCGUGGGUAGCGAACAGGAUUAGAUACCCUGUAGGUCAGUC
rnacentral:rRNA from 1 species